GAGCAAUCUGCUGCAGGAAAACACGGAUGGUGUCUUCACUUAACGUGCCCUUAGCUGUGGAUCAGAGGGAUGAAAUAUGAUAUGGGAUGAUACAGGAGGAGGAAGACAGCAUGGCAGUAUACAGAGAGUUUAUCAUACUGAAUGACCUCCCAUGACUGGCAGAGCUGGAAGCCAGAGCCUUGCUGUGGUCGAGCAUAGCUUCAGCAAACGCCGACAGCAUUUACGCCUCAGAAAAUCCCAAGACAUGGGCAACUCCAGACCAAUUUAAGUCUUAGCUGUUGACAGCUGGUUCUCAACCAAGGCGCAAAUAAAGAAAAGAUGGAGAAAGCUACA